AACUCUGAGUGGUGGAUCAUUCGUCUUGUGCAUCGAUGAAGAACUCAGCUAACUGUGAGAACUAAUGUGAAUUGCAGGACACAUUAAUCAUCGACACUUUGAACGCACUUUGCGACUGAAGAUUAAUCCCAGGGCUAUGCCUCUCUGAAGGUCG